CGUAGGUGGCAAGCGUUGCCCGGAAUUAUUGGGCGUAAAGCGCGCGCAGGCGGUCCUUUAAGUCUGAUGUGAAAGCCCACGGCUCAACCGUGGAGGGUCAUUGGAAACUGGGGGACUUGAGUACAGAAGAGAAGAGUGGAAUUCCACGUGUAGCGGUGAAAUGCGUAGAGAUGUGGAGGAACACCAGUGGCGAAGGCGACUCUUUGGUCUGUAACUGACGCUGAGGCGCAAAAGCGUGGGGAGCAAACAGGAUUAGAUACCCUGGUAGUCCACGCCGUAAACGAUGAGUGCUAAGUGUUAGAGGGUUCCCGCCCUUUAGUGCUGCAGCAAACGCAUUAAGCACUCCGCCUGGGGAGUACGGCCGCAAGGCUG
rnacentral:rRNA from 1 species